CUUUCAUACCUGAAGAGAAGAAGUCAGUGCCUGGCUUCAGAGCUUCAAAGAGACCAAAACCAUCUCUGAGAAUGAGGGAUUUAUUCUCCCAGCUGUGGAAUGUGCUGUCAGGUGAUACCCCACAGCUAUCAGCACUCUGAGAAUUGCUUUGGUUCAAGACAGAUGACUCACCAAAAUUUGUACCCUCUGGCCCAUCUGAAGAAUUCACUAACACACAGUAUAAAAGAUGGUAAC
rnacentral:lncRNA from 1 species